rnacentral:rRNA from 1 species
AUUGAACGCUGGCGGCAGGCCUAACACAUGCAAGUCGAGCGAGUGGCGGACGGGUGAGUAAUGUCUGGGAAACUGCCUGAUGGAGGGGGAUAACUACUGGAAACGGUAGCUAAUACCGCAUACCAUCAGAUGUACCCAUAUGGGAUUAGCUAGUAGGUGAGGUAAUGGCUCACCUAGGCGACGAUCCCUAGCUGGUCUGAGAGGAUGACCAGCCACACUGGAACGGAGACACGGUCCAGACUCCUACGGGAGGCAGCAGUGGGGAAUAUUGCACAAUGGGCGCAAGCCUGAUGCAGCCAUGCCGCGUGUAUGAAGAAGGCCUUCGGGUUGUAAAGUACUUUCAGCCAGGAGGCGUUACUCGCAGAAGAAGCACCGGCUAACUCCGUGCCAGCAGCCGCGGUAAUAC